CGCAUUGGAAGUGGUUAUCCUUGUAGUCACGUCGAUAUAUCGUCGGCAUAUCUUAGAUAGUUUCCCAAGUUAUUGGUCCUUUGGGUUAUUAAACGUAUGCGUGUUGUAGACCUUGUCCUGGUGUAGAUCUUGAUGAUGAAAACUUUUGUGCCUGGGAAACCUGUGUUUUCUUCAACCCUCCCAAUCCAAUUUGAAUUGCACACACAGCUAUCUAAUCGCUUUUGACAACAUUCUUCCAGUUCUUCAGUUCUUCAAUACAGUGAUCUAGGUUUCAAAAAAAGGCCCAAGUAUGUCAAUUAUGGAAGUAAUAGAUUUAUGUUCAAACCAAGAAGAAAGGACAGUUUCCAUUAACUCUAUGUAAUUUUCUGCCUUAUGAUUUCUAAGAAAAUAUUCUCACACAAAUGAUUAAUGAUGUGGUAAAAUGGGAAUUUUUGAUAAUUAUUAGAAGACUUCCGUACCAAUCCCAAGAAAUGUACGUUCCAAGUAAUCAAAACAAAGGUUUUACAAAUUGCUUAGAAUUGCAUUAUUUUUAAUAGUCAGAUCGGUUUUGUUAUGUCAUUUGUUACUAGAUGUUACCUUAUUCUAUAAAAAAGUUUAGAUAUAUAUUUUAAGGAGAAAAAGGUUUAAAUAAAUUCUUCACUAUCUUUGUUUUAAUGUACUAGGUUCUUAAUUUAUUAUAACCCAUUUAUUUUACCAUUCAAAAUGAUGAAAAAGACACCAGUAUAUAUA